rnacentral:rRNA from 1 species
AACGAACGCUGGCGGCGUGCCUAACACAUGCAAGUCGAACGGGAUUAAGGGGCUUGCUCCUUAAUCUAGUGGCGCACGGGUGAGUAACGCGUAGAUAAUCUGCCUGAUGAUCUGGAAUAACAUUCCGAAAGGAGUGCUAAUACCGGAUAAGCCCACGAUGACCUUAGUUAUUGCGGGAAAAGGGGGGGACCUUUGGCCUUCUGUCAUCAGAUGAGUCUGCGUACCAUUAGCUAGUUGGUAGGGUAAAGGCCUACCAAUGCGACGAUGGUUAGCUGGGCUGAGAGGAUGAUCAGCCACCCUGGAACUGAGACACGGUCCAGACUCCUACGGGAGGCAGCAGUGGGGAAUUGUGCGCAAUGGGCGAAAGCCUGACGCAGCAACGCCGCGUGAGUGAUGAAGGCUUUCGGGUCGUAAAGCUCUGUCAAGGGGAAAGAAGUGUAUUGUGGUUAAUACCCAUGAUACUUGACGGUACCCCUAAAGGAAGCACCGGCUAACUCCGUGCCAGCCGCCGCCGUAAGAC